rnacentral:rRNA from 1 species
GACGAACGCUGGCGGCGUGCUUAACACAUGCAAGUCGAACGGAAAGGCCCUGCUUUUGUGGGGUGCUCGAGUGGCGAACGGGUGAGUAACACGUGAGUAACCUGCCCUUGACUUUGGGAUAACUUCAGGAAACUGGGGCUAAUACCGGAUAGGAGCUCCUGCUGCAUGGUGGGGGUUGGAAAGUUUCGGCGGUUGGGGAUGGACUCGCGGCUUAUCAGCUUGUUGGUGGGGUAGUGGCUUACCAAGGCUUUGACGGGUAGCCGGCCUGAGAGGGUGACCGGCCACAUUGGGACUGAGAUACGGCCCAGACUCCUACGGGAGGCAGCAGUGGGGAAUAUUGCACAAUGGGCGGAAGCCUGAUGCAGCAACGCCGCGUGCGGGAUGACGGCCUUCGGGUUGUAAACCGCUUUCGCCUGUGACGAAGCGUGAGUGACGGUAAUGGGUAAAGAGGCACCGGCUAACUCCGUG